GGGCAGUACCCGACAGUCUGUUAUUAAAUGUUAACCGAGCCGCACGCACACUCCGGUUAGGCAGUCUGUUAGCCGCGUAAAUUUCGAAAUUAUGUCUACUUUAUAAUUUGGUCGACAACGAGCAAACUUUGAACCAUCAGUUAUCAGCGGUCCUGUUAAAAGUAAACGGAACCUCAUUUACAGCCGUCAAUUCCUGGGGGUCCUGCUGAAAUACAACAUUUCUCAUUAUUGGAUUAAGACAGUUGUGGUUAUAGAAACUUGAAUAAUGGCAACCGAUUCUUACAAUUUUCACUGACUGGCAACAUAUCUUCUGUUUUUAAUUUAAUAAUCGUUCGUGCGACCAAUUUUUGUGACAUGCGCUGAGUGGCUACAAGUCAUCUUUUUUUAAUUAGAAUAGUCGUGUUUGGAAGUAUUUAUUUAUAGCAACCAAUCUUAUAGCUGCUCAUUUCAACUAUUGUAGUUAUCAAAUGGAGUAUUUGCUGUCAAUUCAUAAUCUGGAAUAAUUAAGAAAUUACAAAUUAUACCGCACUAUCAACACUAAACAAUUAAAGAAUAACAUAAAAAUAAGUUACAGUGGUUACAGACAAAAAAAUCAUUAUAAAGUUAUACAUUAUAAUGCGAAAUAAAUUGGAUACUCAACGUUUCUGGGCUCAUAGAAGUUAUUUAAGUACACACUUAUGUUGGUCUGUUAUUAAAUAAUACUAUCUAUAAUAUAAUCGUUUUACUUUUGGUGUGUACAUGCAUAUAAUAAAUAUACAUAUAGACACUGGAUUAAAAGUGGACGCCUUGCAAAGAGCUAGUGGCCGUCUUUGUUAAAUCAACCGAUUUAUGGAGCGCUUUCCAUGCAGCUUAUAACAAUUAAAAAACUGGGAAAGCUACCUAUCCCUAAGAAAAGAUGCUUGGAAUUGGGAAUACCACUCAAAAAAUUCUUCGAUGCGAAUUUUAGAUGAUCUAUGAACUUGUCAACAUUUAUUGUGUUUUAAAUAAUAACAUUGAUAUUAAAUAUCCAUAAUCAAUGUGAAUACCAAGAUGGAGUUUUGCUCAAGUGACAAGUCUAUAAAACCUAUAACCUUACUUAUAAAAUGUAUGCACAUCAAAUAUCAAAAUUAAAGUAUUAUGUCUUUGUUCUGAGAAACUUAUAAAUGUG